UUUGUUUUCUUAAAAAAUAUGUCGCCAGCGAACACGUAUGGUAAACGUCGGAGAAUAGUUAGCUCUUACGAAACAGGUGAAACUUCUAGCGCGCCUCCUCGCCGCAGGAUGUCGCAAAGGCUGCGUUCGAUCACUUCUCAAACUACAGAGUCAUCUGGAUCAAUGCGGAGGGCGCUCCCUUCGUAUUCAGAUUGUGGAGAUUGCACAUAUAUUUGUGAACAUUGCAACGCUCUAUUUUGGUUUAACGAGAGGGUUUUACACGCUGCACAUGUUCGUCAUCCUCGCUACAAUCAGUGUUGUAAAUCAGGCGCUGUUAGCUUAACUUUUCCUCUUCAACCACCACCUGUUAUUAAGCAACUUUUCCGCGAUCCUCAGUUCCUAGAAAAUAUUAGGGCAUAUAACAAUAUGUUUUCCAUGACUUCAUUUGGGGCAAAUGUCGAUGACACCAUUAAUGAUGGUCGUGGUCCUUACAUUUUUAAAAUCUCUGGCCAAGUUUCACAUUGGAUCAGAUCUUUGUGCCCUCCGCCUAAUGAGAAACCCCGUUUUUUUGCAAAUGUAUAUAUAUGAUACAGAGAAUGAGAUUUCAAACAGGCUUCGCUUUUUCAAUAACUCGGAUCAACACAACCUAUCUCAUACUGUUGUCGCCACUCUCAGCCAGACAUUAAAUGCUCACAAUAAGUAUGUUCGCCUCUUUAAAAACGCUAGCGAGAUUUGCAGCACGGAAGAGGGCAGUUGUUAUUCCAUACGUCUUUACAAUAAUGUACCUGAUAGAAGAUAUGGUGCCCCGUCUCCAGACACGUUAGGUGGAAUCGUAUGCGGUGAUGACUUCAAUGCUAGCGGCUACGACAUCAUCAUUGACUCAAAAGGCGGAAUACCUCAAAGAGUUAGUAAGCUCCAUCCAUCUUAUAUGCCAUUACAAUAUCCGCUUCUAUUUCCUUUGGGAGAAGAAGGUUGGUCUCCGAAUCUCA